rnacentral:lncRNA from 1 species
UUUUUUUUUCUUUAGUAGCGGUUACAAAUCUAAGUUUUUAGUAAUCAUUUAAUUGCUAUGUUAAUUUAAUCUGAACUUCUCAAUUUUUUAGAAACGGGAAAAUUCUUUUUCUAUAAAUAUUGAACUGGUCUGUUUUUUAAUUUGAACGUCUUGUUUUUUUUUGCUUUAGUAUAGGAAAAUAAAUUUGAUUUUUUUCAUAAAUUUUGAAUUAAUCCUUUUAUUGAAAAAAAUUCGUGUCAGGAAUGCCCCUGAACUUUUUUUAUGGCGAACCACCCCAUGUUAGGUUUUCGUACAUUUUCAUUUGUAUUUUCCAGACUUCCUGAUCUAUUAGUCUCUUAAAUCCCAAACUUCCACAAACUAUUUUUUUAUUGUUUGUCAAAGCGUAUUUCUAUUUAUUUAGUGAGCGAGCUUCUAAAUUUUGAAAAGUGAGUGUCUAUUUUUUUAAUGCACCGAGAGAUGGACAAAUAUAAAAGUUGUAAGUUUUUUAGAUAGGCAAACAACCUUUUUGUGAACAUGUAUUAAGACCACACACACAUACUGGAGGACCUAUGCAACACACACACACACAAGAGCACACACGAAUGCUCAACAAAAGAAAAAAAAAACCUGAGUGCACACAUGUGAGCUCACAACACACAUGCAAACGCACGAGCACACACACAGGAUACAUCACGGUCCGGAAGCACGCACCAGACACACUAGUCUUAUUAGUAAUUAUACUUCAUAGUGCUCUUUCUUGAUUUUGACUUUUAUGGAACUCUUCUUUUGAACUUCUGAUUCUGAAUAUCUUCAUAUAAUCACGAGGCCAACAGAUUUGACUGUAUGAACAUUUGAUUAUCUGCACUCUGAACUCUGAAGUAUACUACUGUAGUUCUAGAGCAACCUCUGCCAUUCAGUUAUCUGAACUCUAGCUAAAGUUGUUCAACUUCGUGCCAAAUUGCAGACGAGCACUUACGUGUAGCAGUAGUAGGGGAGCGAAGCUUCAUGACAUGGGCUAAGUGGGGAUGACGACGACAGGUCUUGCAGCCUGCAGCAGCCACAAAAAAGGAGCAUGUACACAAACUCAUGGAUAGUAAAGUCUUCUGCAUUUUUGCGCAAACAUUUUCCUGGUACACAUAUGUGACCUUCUCCCAUGUUUUUAUUUGAACUUAUUUUCAGGAGAAAUUUGCUGCCGUCAAUUUUCUUCACAUAUAUAUAAGGUAAGACAAACAAACUCAUUUUAGCAAAACUAGAUGGUGGUGAGAAAAUUUGUCAUGUUGUCGACAUAGGUACACAAGUAACUGAAUUUUCAUUUGAGGUAAAUUAUGCAAAUACGAGCACACACAAAAACCACAAAAGCAACAUACACUUGACCAUUUUCUAAUGAGUAGCUAUACUGACGCAUUCUUUUUCCAGUUUUAGAUUGUUCAAAUCUACCUACAAGAAUAAUACGUGGACUAAAUUGGAGGGAUAUGAGUUUCAGAAAUGAAAGGAAGUUGCAGCACGCUCCAACUCCAUGAGCAGAAGAAGAACCAGGGGACAACUCGUUAUGCGUUCGAGGUGCGCAUGAGCAGUUGCCGUGGAAGCAACAGAAGCUAGGUGCUGACCGCCGUCGACAGAGGCGAACGUGUGCCAGGUGGGAUCAACCGCGUUGGUACAGUAAACUGCUGCUGGUCCAACCACUGAUCCGUCCGCAGUUCACAUAACGCCCAACCUGCAAUAGAACACGAAGAAAUCAGAGCUACACGAACUUGGAGAAAAGAGCAGCGCAAGGAGUAGUGGCUCUCGCCGGCUGUGUCGAGGCGUGCACACCAGUGGAGUGGAUCGAACGACCGGCACCUUAGGACGAGCGAGGAGGUGUGCAGCUGCAAGGUUAGCUGGGAGAUGGGGGAUCCCGGUCGUGUGCAGCCGAGCCAGGGUAUGUAGUGGCCGGCGGAUGUGCGGCGGUGGGGGUGUGGUGGGGAUCGAGGGCGGCGGCGGGAGGCGAUUUGGGAAUGGAAAGAGGUGC